AACGAAGAUAACGAUCGCUACAGGAAAAUAAUACAAUGCAAUUUUUGCAUUAUUUGAGUUACAUUUAACGAAGUGAUAAGAACAUUGAAAUUUAUGUUCGUACUUAGUUCAGUCUGCUAUUUCUUGAUUUAUAUAACAAAUUAUAUAGAUCCACGUCUAUCCCUAAGCAUUUGACUUGUUGAUUGUAAUCAUUCAAAGUUGCAAUUUUCAGGCAACACCCACGUUAAAUGAAAUGCUAUAGAAACGUUUAAACGUCUAUCUAUAUGAUCUAACUGUAAAUUAUUGGUUUCAGAUUGUGAUUCGAAGGAGGAAAACACAGAAAAUAGAGAGUCUGCUACAGUAGCUGGAGCACAGGUGGCAAUCAAGAAAUCAUCUAAUUGCAGCGGGAGACCAGCAGAUUGGAAUGUGCAAACAGUUUGUGAGUUCAUAGAGUCAAUACCUAACUGUGCGCCGUAUGUUGAGAAAUUCAGAUCAGAGCAGGUCAAUGGGGCUGCCUUAUUAGAACUCGACAAAAAGGAUCUAAAAGAUUUUUUCGAGAUGCCUUUAGGAUUAGCCGUCAACGUUUGUUCACAUUUGAAGAAGUAUGAAGAAAAAAAUAUAUGAGACACCUUUACGCAUUCUAUGUUUGUACAUACAAAUGUUGUAGAUUUGUAUCAUAGUUUAUCUUGUUAAAAAAAACUGUGUGUUUCAUUCGUUUUGUAUUUGACCUUUAAAAUUAA